CUGCAGAGCCGAGUGCCGGGCCCCGCCGCGCUCGGCGCUGUACACGGAGGCAGCUAGACAGCCUGCGGGAGCCUUUUGCUGCGCGCUGGGGGUCGAACCCGUCGUGGGAACCGGGAGACCGGAGCCCCCCAUCCCGCAGCCCCGGGGGGGGGGGCUGAGAGGCUGCGGGAGUCCGGCGGGGGUCCCCGAAACCCAGGGCCGAGCGCAGCGGCGAGGUCCCGGGGGCGGGCUGCAGGGGUGCGACGGGGUCACGCUCUUCCUGCAAGGCUGCCGGCCCCGGGACGGCCCUCCCCGCCCUCGCUGCGGGCAGGUGUUGGCCGUCGGGCGCCCAGAUGUGCACGGCGUGGCACUGGAUCCAGAGCCCGCACUGCAGGGGAGAGGGUGGAGGGGACGACACCAUCCCUGGGGGUGGCGAUGGGGGGAGCCUUUUCUGGGGGGCGACCCUGUCCACCCUGUGCUAAGGGGGCGCUGCUCUGGACCCCCGUGCCCCAGCGGGUGGGCGGGCGCCCAAUGCCCAUGCGGGUGCAGCUCGGGGCGCGCCCAGGGCUCGAGGGCCAGGCAGAGCAGCGCUGCUGCGGGCUGCGCACGUGCACCCUUCCCGCCCCCGCCUGGCUUCGCCUUCCGCGCUAGUGCGGCCGCGCGCGCUUUCCGUAGCCGGGCGGGAGCUGGCAACCCAAGAUGGCGGCGGCGGCGCCGGGCGCGGCGGUGGGCGAGGCCCAGGCGCGCUUCGGGCACUCGGUGAAGGGGCUGCUGAGCGAGAAGGUGACCGGCUGCGGCACCGACGUCAUCGCCCUCACCAAGCAGGUGCUGAAGGGCUCCCGCAGCGCCGAGCUCCUGGGCCAGGCCGCUAGGAACAUGGUGCUGCAGGAGGACGCCAUUCUGCACUCGGAGGACUUUCCUCCCUUAGAAAAUGAAGCUGAGCGCGCUGGGCUCGGAGAGGGGAGGGCAUCGGGAUCUGUGAAGCCUCUGCACGUGCGCACAGCGCUGCCCUUCCCUCCGCGUGGAGCUCGCCCCCGGGAGAGUCGCGCUGACUGCCUUUGACCGUGCCUGUGCAGGGCGAGUCCUUGCCCCGUGCUCUGUGAACGCUCCUGUGGUCGUGAUCCAGUCUAACCGGCGCGCCCGCCUGGCUCUGGGACACACGGGGCUGCAGCCCUGCCCUGGCUGAGGGGCUGCUCGAGAUCCUUCAGGACUCGUGCACUGUUAACCUCCCCCCGCUCCCCCAGUGUUGUAUUUUGGCCCCCACUGGCGGGACGCUGGUGAGCUGUCGGGGGGCGGAGUGCGGCGUGCUGGCCCAGGGCUGUGCUCUCUCCCCGUCUAAACCGGCGCAGAACAGCCUUCGCUCUCGGGGCGGCAGCUGCAGGCAGUCGGAUCCAGGAUCUCAGCUGCCAGGGUCAGAGCACCGAGGCCAGACGUAGCUACCCCGGUAAACGUCACUGAGCAGGCAGGCAGGCAGGCAGGGGCAUCGACUCUGCUUGGGCAGCACAGGACCCGGCCAGCAGCUCAGCUCUGGUGUUGGCAGGAGUGAUGUGCAUCUAGCCCUGCCGAACACGGGCCGCCCAGACUGAAUCCAGACGCUGGCACAGUUCCUCGCCUGUGCCUUCUCCCUGUGGACACGUGGCAACACAGGCAGGCAGGCGUGGAUCCCAUGAAGGAGUGCGAUUGCUCUGAUGCACCCCCUGGAUACGCCCCGCGGGCGGGUGGGUUUAGAACAGCGCCCAAGCUGCUCCCGUGGAGAGCCUGAGGAAGAUGUCCAUCAUCACCACGCAUCUGCAGUACCACGUCGAGCAGUCGUCCAACCUGCAGGACCAGCUGCGGCACCUCCUCAAAUGAGACGAGAGCCCCGAAUUUCUGAGACCGCUGCCGCCAGGGUCGCCGCUAGGAUGUGCCGUGUCGUGGGAGCUGCUGAUGCCCUUGCUCGUGCUUCGGUGUUGAGGUGGCAUGCAGAGCUGAGCUGGAACGGCUGGGGGCACCCACCCCUCUGCUUCUCACACCCCCUCUCCCAUGGUUAGCUGCUCACUUGCAUUCAGUUUUGAGCGGACUUUACCCUGCCCUCCAGUGCUCAGUCUCUUCCCUGCGCAGCGCACGGCCUGAAGAGCUGCCCUCACCUCCUCCGGGCUGCCAUGGCCUGGCUAGCGGCGCCGCAGCCACGUGUUUAAUAUGAGCAGCUGGCUCAGCCCUUGUCUCCCACGGCCCCUCCACACUCGUUACACUCCUCCCAGCCGUGCUGGACCUGGUUUUUGCAGACCUCACGGGGUGGCCCCCAAACCCUUCACAGGAGGUUACACGCCCCACCCUGUCGUGUGUAAGGCUGGCGCUCACAACUAGGCACCGCCAUCUCCAUCUCCAUGGCGUGCUAGCCAGAGAGACAAGCAGCCACCUCUGCUCUGUGGCGGGUGCCAAUGCUCCGGUGAUUAUUUUACAUGCGGAUGCAGGUAUUUAACGUGGGCCAGGGUCUUUAAUUGGGCGUCCAGGUAUACAGAGGAGCCGCGGUCUCUGCCAUAAUAAAUCUCUGUAGCAAGUGCUACCCGUACGCUGUU